CACACAGUAAACGAUGAAUACUCGCUGUUUGCGAUAUACUGCAAGCGGCCAAGCGAAAGCGUUAAGUAUUCCACCUGGGGAGUACGCCGGCAACGGUGAAACUCAAAGGAAUUGACGGGG
rnacentral:rRNA from 1 species